rnacentral:lncRNA from 1 species
CACUCAAAAUUCUUGAAGUUGUAUUCACUAGAAAAGAUGAGUGAUUACAUAGUUGAAGAAAAAGAAUAAAAAUCCAACAUAAACACAAUACUAUGGAAUGAUGAAAAGCAAUCAUCAAACAAAUUGCAGUGAGCAAUCUUUAAAAUCAAAAGAAAAUGGUAAUGAGGCACAACAUCAAGACCAGCAGCACCACUCCAAUCCAGCAGGCACAAGUCCUCCUCUUCUUCAUCUGGCUAGCACGAUCGAGCUCCUUGGC